AUUGAACGCUGGCGGCAGGCCUAACACAUGCAAGUCGAGCGGUAGAGAGGUGCUUGCAUCUCUUGAGAGCGGCGGACGGGUGAGUAAUGCCUAGGAAUCUGCCUAGUGGUGGGGGAUAACGUUCGGAAACGGACGCUAAUACCGCAUACGUCCUACGGGAGAAAGCGGGGGAUCUUCGGACCUCGCGCCAUUAGAUGAGCCUAGGUCGGAUUAGCUAGUUGGUGAGGUAAUGGCUCACCAAGGCGACGAUCCGUAACUGGUCUGAGAGGAUGAUCAGUCACACUGGAACUGAGACACGGUCCAGACUCCUACGGGAGGCAGCAGUGGGGAAUAUUGGACAAUGGGCGAAAGCCUGAUCCAGCCAUGCCGCGUGUGUGAAGAAGGUCUUCGGAUUGUAAAGCACUUUAAGUUGGGAGGAAGGGUAGUAACCUAAUACGUUGCUACUUUGACGUUACCGACAGAAUAAGCACCGGACUAACUUCGUG
rnacentral:rRNA from 1 species